rnacentral:rRNA from 1 species
CUCGAGGUCCGAACCCACUAAUGUUGAAAAAUUAGGGGAUGAGCUGUGGGUAGGGGUGAAAGGCUAAACAAACUUGGAAAUAGCUGGUUCUCUCCGAAAACUAUUUAGGUAGUGCCUCAAGUAUCACCAUCGGGGGUAGAGCACUGUUAUGGCUAGGGGGUCAUUGCGACUUACCAAACCAUUGCAAACUCCGAAUACCGAUGAGUGCGAGCUUGGGAGACAGACGUCGGGUGCUAACGUCCGGCGUCAAGAGGGAAACAACCCAGACCGCCAGCUAAGG